rnacentral:rRNA from 1 species
CCCUUAGAUGAUUUGGGCUGCACGCGCGCUACACUGUUCGACGCAGCGAGUCUUAACCUUGACCGAAAGGUUUGGGUAAUCUUCAGCAAAGUCGAACGUGAUGGGGAUCGAUCAUUGCAAUUAUUGAUCGUGAACGAGGAAUUCCUAGUAAGUGCAAGUCAUCAGCUUGCGCUGAUUACGUCCCUGCCCUUUGUACACACCGCCCGUCGCUACUACCGAUUGAAUGGUUUAGUGAGAUCUCUGGAUUGACGCUGGCUAGGGGGCGACCCUUGGCCAGGCUGUCGAGAAACUGCUCAAACUUGAUCAUUUAGAGGAAGUAAAAGUCGUAACA